rnacentral:rRNA from 1 species
UACGUAGGGACCAAGCGUUGUUCGGAUUUACUGGGCGUAAAGGGCGCGUAGGCGGCUUGACAAGUCACUUGUGAAAUCUCCGGGCUUAACUCGGAACGGCCAAGUGAAACUGUCAUGCUAGAGUGCAGAAGGGGCAAUCGGAAUUCUUGGUGUAGCGGUGAAAUGCGUAGAUAUCAAGAGGAACACCUGAGGUGAAGGCGGCAUCCUGGACCGAUACUGACGCUGAGGAGCGAAAGCUAGGGGAGCAAACGGG